UAUAAAAGGGACCCUUCUGUUUAGGUGCGGUCGUGCGCAAACUGGAUAGGGCCCAUACCAGCAUUAUAUAAAUACAUCAGUGAACAAUUUUGCAGGAAUUAAGUCAAGUCAGCAUUUAAUGCAUUGUCAUUUUAGGUGGUGGUUUUGAAAACACGCGAAGCCAACGAUGAACCUUCUUGCAUACCGAACGAAGCCGAGUUGACUUCAAAUGGUCUAAUUGACCUGAAAAAAUUUGUAAUACUUGAUGGAAACUGCCAUUUCGACACGUCCUGCACUCCAGAUUUCAUAAAUGGUUGGAAGCUUGUUCGAUUUCCUCCAGCAGUUGGAGGUCAAGUUGACAGAACAAUUUUGGACCUGUUUCAAGUACAAAAAUCAUCUGUUCUGAAAUUCGGUACUAAAGAGUGCUGGGUGACUUUCAUGCCGGAGUUGUGGUUAGAUGAGGGAAAUGGGUUGGAAAUUGUGAUAGAAGGUUUCCUUCAGGCGGCUGAUUGUUUUGGGCCUCCUGUCAUGUCGAAACAUGUCGUGGUUGCUGAUGUCACCUCAGCAGCAAAAGAGAAUGGAGCUACUUUAUGCGCGAUUCUGCACGCGUCGUUCAUGGCUCUGAAACAAGAGGAUACAACAUUGAAUCUGGUUGCACUUGUGUCUUUCAAUUCUCCUAGUAUAAGAUCGACAGGUUUUGAUGGUUUUAUAACAACUUAUGCAGAUACUUCGAAGAAAAAAAGCAACCUGGUUUUAAGAAUUUUUCCACCCGAUCAGAAGCCAGCAUGGAUCGGAUCAAUGAAUCAAGUAGUUCCAGCAGGUGUUUUCGAAGAAGAUUUAGUGUCCGGAAUGCAAAGUUCCAGCUUCCCAGUCCAGACGGAGUCUUCAAAAUUUUGCAGUUAUAACGAUUCUUCAUGUAUAGCCUGGCUGCAGAGUCCCAAUUUGUUCGCAGAUGCGCAGAAGUUUGUGCGACUAGCGAAGAAAGUAACGCCGGAGAAAAGAGGACAAGUUUUCACUGAAGCAAAUCGUAUCAUUUCAAUUGCUAAAGCGCUGUCUUUUCCACAGUACAUGGUAACUAUUGCAUCCUUGCUGGGGAAAGAAAUCGAGACUAACCCUCAGAACUCAGCGCUGCCUAUUCUGUACGAGCUUCAGCGCAAGUUUAACUCAGAAGCAGAGAUAGUUUCAACGUAAUGAAGUUACUCGUUAUAACUGAAUUAACAAUGUCCCGGAAAGGCGGUCAAGAAAUUCAAACGGGAAUCUUGUUCAGCGCUGCUCCAGAAAAAGGGAACUUUUAGAAUGGGCUUAUUUGAGGGUCUCUUAUAAGUCAAAAUCUUCUGUCCCGCUUUAGGCCAAAGAACAAAAUUUGAACUGAAAUUUCAGACUGACGCACAGAUGAAAUGUAAGUCAAAAACAGAUGUGAUAUGUUGUACUGUUGUUACGUGCAUUAGUUUUGUAUCUUGUGUUUUUGGCUCUGAAAAUUAAAAAAAAACUGUUUCGUUUCGUGUUGUUUUCUUUCUUUUCAUGACUUUCUGCAGCGCGUGUCUAAUACCAUUACAAUGGUGUGAUUUUCAAUGUUAAACUGAUUAUAAAUCAACGAAGAAUAAUUUUACCUUACAACCGAUGGCAGGAAUUUGACGUUUAAACAUUUUUGUUCUCAUUUUUUCAUCUGCGGAAACAGGAAAGAUUAGUUUUCACUAUGUUUAGUACUCUGCGAGUUGCCUUGGCUAAAGUACGGUGAAAAAGGGAUAGAAGAUUUAUUUAUUUCAUUUUUCAAGUUGUUUCGUUCAUCGAUUGAGUUGCUAGAAUUUUGAAUAUUCUAAUUGCCUCUAAAUUGCUUACCAUCAUAGAUACUGCCAUAGAAAUUUCUGAAUCCCGGGAGAUAAAAACUACGUGCUCGUUUGAAAAAAUCCCCCGUCACGCUUUUCCACCAGAGUCGACUUUGAAAAGGCAGUCACAGUUACUGUCGCUCUAAGCACGCGUAGGCAAUGAAUGAAUAACGAUGAGGUUCGAAAUUGUUUACAUUUAUUUUUUUACCCAACUCGUCAUAGAAAAAACAAACGUCAGCAACUAGGAAAUGAAAUACCUUCUUCUUGUAUGAAUAUAUACAAUGGUGUACCAGUUUGUCUUAAACAUCAAAAAGUCAGUCCCAAUUUACACGAACAGUAGUUUCCUGUAGAUUAACUUGUUAUCGCAAAAUUGAUUAUGUUUUACUAAGGUUUUACUUUAAAUUGUUAAAAGUUGAUGCUUUAUUUCCUUUGGUUAUCAUCUUCAUCCAAGCAUGAACUAACGCAACAAAUGUAUCACUACAAAGCCUUAACUAAAUAUCGUUCGAGGAAAAGGCGCAAAAUUUUUUAGUUGUCAAUAAAAGAACAAACAACAUAUUGCGAUUUAGCUUCCUUAAUUUGCUGUCUUGUUUGAGUUUAAGUAGUUUAUUAAAAUUUUUCUGUCAAGUAGGCCUCUUAAUAAAUUUUCCAUAUCAUCACGAAUCUUUUCCCUUGCUGGUUACGCUUUCUUUAAUUUUACGACAGCCUGUGUAUUUUAUCAAAUAUAUCCUUCCGGGUUCAUAUUUAAAUAAACACGUAUAUUUUUAUCUGAUUUUCUAAGUUUACUUGUCUGGUUUAUUCGAUAACAGGCUUUUGGUUUGCAGCUUCUCAUAUUGUGCUAAUUAUUUUCUCAAUUUUGACGCUUGAUAUUCUGCUGACAAAUUUGAUCUCAAAUUGCCUUAUAAUUUAGCUGAUGCACGUAGUUGAGAAAAAGAACUGCUUUCUGAAACUAAAGUUUCAUCAAUUGACCUUGGCCUGACCUUAUUGAAAUCGACCAAAAGAAUUUUUCAGCAGCUGCUCAAUUAUCCUAAUAACUGACUGCAUUCGUUUGCUUUCGUUAACUCAGCUUUAUA